UACGAAGGGGGGCUAGCGUUGUUCGGAAUUACUGGGCGUAAAGCGCACGUAGGCGGAUCGAUCAGUCAGGGGUGAAAUCCCAGGGCUCAACCCUGGAACUGCCUUUGAUACUGUCGAUCUGGAGUAUGGAAGAGGUGAGUGGAAUUCCGAGUGUAGAGGUGAAAUUCGUAGAUAUUCGGAGGAACACCAGUGGCGAAGGCGGCUCACUGGUCCGGUACUGACGCUGAGGAGCGAAAGCGUGGGGAGCAAACAGG
rnacentral:rRNA from 1 species